rnacentral:lncRNA from 10 species
AGAACUCCCGAGGCAGGAUUUUAUAGGUUCAGAAAGUGUGUCUCAGAGGAGUUAGAGAAGACCGAUUAAUAGAUGACAGUGCUAAAGCCUGGAUCUCCUGAAUCCUGGAUGAAAGUGUCCUAAGUUAGAUUCCUGGGAAGAAAAUUCUGAGACACAUUCUGCAGGAUGAUUAUUAGGGCUCAUCCUUGGUUUCAACACCCAUAGAAGGAAGGGGGAAGAAGAAAUCGAACAGAGAGACAGAAGUCGAGAUGCAUUUCAGGCCAGGACUCUUGGCUGAACCCACAGGAGCUCUGGAGCUAGAAUGGCCCUUCAGAGUUGUCCUGAGUUGGUCUGAGAUGGCCAGUUCUUUAUAUUCCUGCAUGGGAUAGUCACUGGAUGUCCACCCCAGGAAGGGGUGUGGCCAAGACAGUCCCUAAAAUGCCCGCCAGCACUCCCUACACCUGGAGCGACAAGACCAACAUCACAGGGGGAAUGCACUGGGUGAUGGAUCACAGCGUUCAUCCCAGAAGAUGAGGAUACAGAAUUGGCUGACAACUACGUUCUAAAUGUCAGUGUUCUCCAAAAUUCAUAUGUUGAAACUUAAUUCCCAAUGUGAUGGCAUUAGGAAGUGGGGCCUUUGGGGGAGGGACUAUAGGUCAUGAGGGUGUAACCCUCAUCAAUGGGAUUAGUGUCCAGAGAGCUGCCUUGCCCUUCCACCAUGUGAGGACAUAGUGAGAAGGUGCCAUCUAUGAACUAGGAAGUGGGCGCUUACCACCAGACACCCACUCUUCUGGCAACUUGAUCUUGAAUUUCCCAGCCUCCAGAACUCUGAGAAAUCAAUUUCUGUUAAUUAUAAGCUACCCAGUCGAUAGCAUUUUGUUAAAGCUGCUGGAACUAAACUAAGACACUGACGCUUUCUGCGACAAAAAGAUAGAGUGAGUCUCUAUAGCAUACCAUGUAACAGAUGUUUUUGGAAAAAUAACCUCAUUUCAUAUGUUUCCUCAAGAUAAAAAGAAUGUCAUAACAACAAAUGAGAAAAUAGUUGCUUUAGAAAUAUUGCACCCUAUGGAGAGAGUAUUUUGGAUUUUGGUUUUUUGUUUUGUUUUUUAACUUUUGUUUUAGGUUUGGGGGUACAUAUGCAGGUUUGUUAUAUAGGUAAACUCAUGUCACAGGGGUUUGUUGUACAGAUAAUUUCCUCACCCAGGUACUAAGCCUAGUACCCAAUAGUUGCUUUUUCUCCUCCUCUCUCUCCUCCCACCCUCCACCCUCAAAUAGGCCCCAGUGUAUGUUGUUCUCUUCAUUAUGUUCAUGAAGUUGAGAGAGUGUUUUGAAAAAGAAUGUUGGAAAGCAUUUCCACUGUUAGAUGAUUUUAAGUCAAAAAGUUAUACAACAGUGUGACCUAUUUGCACACAAGCAUGGACACAGAAUUGUGUCAUAUGUUUAAAACUUUUCUAGAUCCUUUUGUGGUUCAUAAGCUUGAUGAUUGAGUUUUCGCGUCCACAUGUGAGAUGUGCCUCCCUUGAGCCUUGUCAUUGGCACAUUACCUGCCUGAUGUGAACAAUAAAAAUAAAAAAUAAAAAUUUGCUAAGCAGA